ensembl:lncRNA
AGGCAGUUAACCAUGCAGUUCUCUGCAUUCUUUUUGAUGUUUGGGAGAGAAGCAUGCUAUCCAGCUGAGGAGGAAAUAAAUGAUGCAGAGAAACAGAUGGACUGCAGUUUGUACUUGUAGAACUGCAGAGUGCACUGGUGCAGUAAGUGGAUCUGAUAAGAUGGACAAUUCAUGCAGAUACAAGAAAUACAAAUUUACCAUGUCUACUCACUGAAACAAGAUGAUCUCAUGUGACCAGC